GAUGAACGCUAGCGGCAGGCUUAAUACAUGCAAGUCGAGGGACAGCACAGGUAGCAAUACUGGGUGGUAACCGGCAAACGGGUGCGGAACACGUACACAACCUUCCUUUAAGUGGGGGAUAGCCCAGAGAAAUUUGGAUUAAUACCCCGUAAUAUAGUUGAAUGGCAUCAUUUGAUUAUUAUAGCUACGGCGCUUAAUGAUGGGUGUGCGGCUGAUUAGAUAGUUGGCGGGGUAACGGCCCACCAAGUCUACGACCAGUAGCUGAUGUGAGAGCAUGAUCAGCCACACGGGCACUGAGACACGGGCCCGACUCCUACGGGAGGCAGCAGUAAGGAAUAUUGGUCAAUGGACGCAAGUCUGAACCAGCCAUGCCGCGUGAAGGAUUAAGGUCCCCUGGAUUGUAAACUUCUUUUAUUUGGGACGAAAAAGGGUCUUUCUAGAUCAACUGACGGUACCAGAUGAAUAAGCACCGGCUAACUCCAUGCCAGCCGCCGCCGUAACAC
rnacentral:rRNA from 1 species